GUGUGAAGUUGAAUGGCUACUGACUGUGAACUUCAGUAAUCAGAGAUGCAGGUCUUAGUUCUACAUGAUGUAUCAGGAAAACAUAGCGGAUUUUUGAAUUUCACAGCAGUCAUGGACCAUAGCUAAUAAAUGUUGCUGCAGUGACAAAUCAAGAAGUUCAGCUUGUUGUGUGCAUAUUAAUUAUGUGCCAUGUGUAUGACUUUGAAGGGAGUGUCAUGGAAAAAGGGUAUGGAACAUACAGAGAUAGGGAUGUGUAAAACUGCAGGGAAGCAAGACCAAGAAUUCCAGAAGAUUAGUGGCUGUAG